rnacentral:rRNA from 1 species
CGCUUUGGGAGGAGCUCGCUUACUAUCAGCUUGUUGGUAGGGUAAUGGCCUACCAAGGCUAUGACGGUUAGGGGGUGUGAGAGCAUGACCCCCAGCAUUGGCACUGAAACACUGGCCAAACACCUACGGGUGGCUGCAGUCGAGAAUCUUCCACAAUGGGGGAAACCCUGAUGGAGCGAUGCUGCGUGCGGGAUGAAGGCCUUCGGGUUGUAAACCGCUUUUGUAGGGGACGAAAUUUUUGACGGUACCCUUUCGAAUAAGAGGUUGCUAACUCUGUGCCAGCAGCAGCGGUAAUACAGAGACCUCAAGCGUUAUCCGGAUUUACUGGGCGUAAAGCGUCUGUAGGGGGUUUAUUAAGUUCCAAGUAAAAUUUCAAGGCUCAACUUUGAAUUCGCUUGGAAAACUAAUAAACUGGAGUCUAGCAGAGGUGCAUGGAACUUGUGGUGUAGGAGUGAAAUCCGUUGAUAUCACAAGGAACACCAAAGGCGAAGGCAUUGCACUGGGCUAGCACUGACCCUGAGAGACGAAAGCGUGGGGAGCAAAACGGAUUAGAUACCCGUGUAGUCCACGCCCUAAACGAUGAAUGCUAAAUGUUCGGGGAUUCGACCCCCUGGGUGUUACAGCUAACGCGUUAAGCAUUCCGCCUGGGAAGUACGGCCGCAAGGCUAAAACUCAAAGGAAUAGACGGGGAUCCGCACAAGCGGUGGAGCGUCUGGUUUAAUUCGACAGUAAGCGUGGUACCUCACCAGGGUUUGACAUCCCUUGACAGCCUUGGAAACAAGGUUUCCUUCGGGCAAGGUGACAGGUGCUGCAUGGUCGUCGUCAGUUCGUGCCGUGAGGUGUUCCGUUAAGUCGGGAAACGAACGAAACCCCUAUUGCAUGUUACAAUUUCUCAUGCAAGACUGCCCGGAUAUACUGGGAGGAAGGUGGGGAUGACGUCAGAUCUGCAUGGUCCUUAUACCCUGGGCGACACAGGCGCUACAAUGGCAGAGACAAAGGGUUGCAAAACCGCAAGGUGAAGCUAAUCCCAAAAACUUUGUCUAAGUUCGGAUUGAAGGCUGCAAUUCGCCUUCAUGAAGCUGGAAUCGCUAGUAAUCGUGAAUCAGCCACGUCACGGUGAAUAUGUUCCCGGAUCUUGUACUCACCGCCCGUCACACCAAGAGAGUUGGUAGCUCCCGAAGCGUCCCGUUUUAGCGGGGCAUCACGGAGAGAUCAGCGAUAGGGGUGAAGUC